UGAGGUAGUAAGUUGUGUUGUUGUGGGGUGUGGGAUAUCACCGCCCCAUUUAGGAGAUGCAACUAUACAACUUACUGCCUUC
ensembl:miRNA gmo-let-7h-2 gmo-let-7h-2